AUUACUCCUACGGGAGGCAGCAGUAGGGAAUAUUGCACAAUGGGGGAAACCCUGAUGCAGCGACGCCGCGUGAGUGAUGAAGGCCUUCGGGUCGUAAAGCUCUGUCGUAUGGGACUAACACAAUGAAGGUACCAUGCAAGAAAGGAUCGGCUAACUUCGUGCCAGCAGCCGCGGUAAUAAU
rnacentral:rRNA from 1 species